rnacentral:tRNA from 1 species
GCGGAAGUGGUGGAACUGGCAGACACGUCAGGUUUAGGUCCUGGUGCCCUUGGGUGUGCGGGUUCGAGUCCCGCCUUCCGCA